ACGCGCGGAACCUUACCAUCCCUUGACUUGGAUAUCGCGGCUCCAGAGAUGGAGCUUUCAGUUCGGCUGGAUAUCACACAGGUGCUGCAUGGCUGUCGUCAGCUCGUGUCGUGAGAUGUUGGGUUAAGUCCCGCAACGAGCGCAACCCGUCGCUGCUAGUUGCCAGCAUUCAGUUGGGCACUCUAGCGGAACCGCCGGUGAUAAGCCGGAGGAAGGUGGGCAUGACGUCAAGUCCUCAUGGCCUUACGGA
rnacentral:rRNA from 1 species